GGGUGAGUAAUAUAUCGGAACGUGCCCAGUCGUGGGGGAUAACGCAGCGAAAGCUGUGCUAAUACCGCAUACGAUCUCUGGAUGAAAGCGGGGGACUCGCAAGAGCCUCGCGCGAUUGGAGCGGCCGAUAUCAGAUUAGCUAGUUGGCGGGGUAAAAGCCCACCAAGGCGACGAUCUGUAGCUGGUCUGAGAGGACGACCAGCCACACUGGAACUGAGACACGGUCCAGACUCCUACGGGAGGCAGCAGUGGGGAAUUUUGGACAAUGGGCGAAAGCCUGAUCCAGCAAUGCCGCGUGCAGGAUGAAGGCCUUCGGGUUGUAAACUGCUUUUGUACGGAACGAAACGGUUUGCCUUAAUACGGUGGGCUAAUGACGGUACCGUAAGAAUAAGCACCGGCUAACUACGUGCCAGCAGCCGCGGUAAUACGUAGGGUGCGAGCGUUAAUCGGAAUUACUGGGCGUAAAGCGUGCGCAGGCGGUUAUAUAAGACAGAUGUGAAAUCCCCGGGCUCAACCUGGGACCUGCAUUUGUGACUGUAUAGCUAGAGUACGGUAGAGGGGGAUGGAAUUCCGCGUGUAGCAGUGAAAUGCGUAGAUAUGCGGAGGAACACCGAUGGCGAAGGCAAUCCCCUGGACCUGUACUGACGC
rnacentral:rRNA from 1 species